GGAGGGAGGGGGAGGAGGGAAGAGGGAUGGGAGGAGGGAGGGGAGGAGGGAGGGAGGAGGAGUUUCACAGUCUAGUGCAUUCCCAUCAGAUCAGAGAGGGGAACGCGGGCUACUUCCCCUUUUCAAGCGCUUCUGGGGCCCCACUUGUGUUUCAGUUCCUCCCCCUCUGGACUGGGGAUGGCACGGCUGGUGGGCCUGGCCCGGGCGGGUGCCCAGGUGCCCAGCCAACUGGGCCCUCGCCCGGCUCCAUCUCGGGCUGGCAGGCUCCCUGCAGUUACCCGGCAUGCCCUUCCCCUUGUCAGGGAGGCCUCGCCCUCUUGUUUUCCAAGUUUUAUAACAGUAUUGUUUGUUGUCCGGCAGAUUAAAUUCUUCUGGAGGCGGGGGAGGGAGAUGAGGGAGGGAAAGGAGGGAAGAGAGAGAGGGAGACGAAACACAAAUAGGGCCAUCAGGGCCAAAAGACUAGAUGAGCUGCUUUCUGAACAGAGCUCACCUGUCUCGCAGGGAGGCCCGUGGCCGGGAGCCCAUGUUCACUUCCUCUCUGACCCUCUCUGCCUGCACUCUCAACCCAGCAGGGGCGGGGGCUCAGACUCUCCAGGCCGCCAGGGCUAGGCGGGGAGCCGCACCGUCUCAGAAAUGGCUCACCUCUGCAGCAAGCCUGCACUGUGCUCACAUGUGAAACGAAGGGAACACCGUUUACCAUAUCAGAGACACUGGACGAACAGGUCCCCAAGGAAACGGUACCACAGGCGUGCGGACAGACAUUCCUGUGUGCCUAAGGAGUGAACGAGGGUGGGAAACAGACAAGAAGGGAGGCCGGAAACUGAUACAAAAGCAGCAUGAGCUUACAGACGGCAGUGGCGGCGGGCGACCCGGCAGGGGAAGGCUCCUGACUUGUCGGGUCUUUCUAUGUCAAACAUGCAGGCACUAGUGAUACUAAAGGAUAUACGAUUCUCUGCAUUUAACACAACCUUCAUUUAGACAUCAACUGGUUGAUUUCUGGACUUUGGUCACUUCUAAAUAGUACGUUAGGUGUGCUUCAACACACCCCCAUGCCUUUAAAAGAGCCAGCAAUGCCGGUGGCCCCAGAGCUGUGGACCUGCCCCGAGAACUCCUCUUCCCUCCCCUGCCUUUCUCCAGCCAACAGAUGUAUGGCCCUGCCUCACAUGCCGCAUUCUCACACACACACACACACACACACACACACACACACACACACAGUCUCUCUCCCCACACACACACAAAAUUCACAUAUACACACUCUCUCUCCCACACACAGAGUUCACACUCAUUCACACACACACACUCUCACACAACGCAUCUCUGAUGCCUGUCGGCAGUCCCUAGAGUGCAGAGAAGCCGGCCGGCAGGAUGGCAGCAGUGCUGAUACAAAUCAGGAUCAGAGCAGCUCAGAGCUCUCCCGGCAGGGAUGAGGGGCGAACAUGCCUUUCUCCUUUUUUAUUCACAAAUACGAUCCGUCCUACAGGGUCCGUGCCAGAAGUUCUCUCUGCAAAGGGAAACAACGUUCAUGUGCCCCCCAUCCCGAGCUCUGGCGUGCCUCAGGGGCAGAAAGGACUGGCGGAGCCCGCACGGGAUCCUAGCACCCACAGCGCCUGCUGCUCCCGGCGUCCACAGACGCAGGCCGGAAGGACCCUCCUGAGGACCGCCAGCCUCCCCCUCUCAGAGAAGCCUCAUCUCUCCUCGGGAGCCAUCAGAAUGCCACGGUGGUCCUCCCCGGAGUGUAGCCUAAGUCCCCUCCCUGUGCCGGUGCAGACCUCCUCCGCUCCUUCCUCCAGAGAGCCGGGGUCCAGAACGACAAAGGGUCACACGUCAAGCCCCUCAAGUCUGCGGCCACCGAAACAGCUCCCAGGUGGCUUGCCCAUCACAGGGUUUCUCUACAAGCCAGGGCCGCAUCCAGGGGAUACCAAUGGCCAGAUGGUGCAGGUGUGGUAAGCGUGCCGACCCCCACCCCACCCCAAUCCUUCCUCAAACACCCCGUUAAAUACGCUAUAAACGCUAAGUCACCCUGGUUAAAUACGCUAUAAACGAACACUCCUUCCCCCUCCUAACCAAAUGCAGAUCACACAGAGGGCCACAUGGCCAAGGAGCCGUGCAGCCCACGCUCUGCUUCAGAACCCCUUGUGGAGGGUGGGGGGCUGGGCUCAGUACUCAGAAUACACGGCUGCCCAAGGAUUCUCUGAGCACCUUCUCCACGGGAAAGGCCUACUUCUUCCAAUCAGUCAUCAUGCAAACAACCAGAGCUGAAGCAGCGCUUCCAUCGCACAUCGGCCGGCCCCUCCAGCAGGUGCAGCACGUUAAGCAGCUAGCAGACAGGUAAUGAGCAGCUAGGCAGAGCUCCAUACAGAGCUCCAUACGCAACGCCUCCAAGUCCAAUGGGAAAAAAGUCUCAGAGACCCCACCGUGAGGCCUCAUUUCUGAGAGAGCUACUCGGCAGAAGCAGACCAUAUGCACAAGCAUGAAGUGCUGUAUAGACGCGUCAGAAUGGUCGGAAGCACAGCAUAUUCCAGAAGCUUCCAAAUGCAAGAAACCUCACCGAAAACGCAUGGUGCAUGGCUGGCUUCCCAGAGACAGAGCACACGCCAGUCUUCACGAGAGCUCUGAGAGCGCUGAAAAGGCAGAGAACCCAGAUAUUCUGAGGUUUCCUGCCCCUUCAAUAUAUAGAGAAAAGACCUGAGGCCUGGAAUGGCCAAGUCAAC
ensembl:lncRNA